AGCAGCCGCGGUAAUUCCAGCUCCAAUAGCGUAUAUUAAAGUUGUUGCAGUUAAAAAGCUCGUAGUUGAAUUUCGGGGUCUAUCCAUUGGUCGGGCUUUACGGUCCGUACUGGUGAGAUGGGUUCCUACCUUCUGAAUAACCGGCAUGCCAUUCAGUUGGUGCGCCGGGGAAGCAGAGCUAUUACCUUGAAAAAAUUAGAGUGCUUAAAGCAGGCUAUUGCUUGAAUAGAUUAGCAUGGAAUAAUAAAAUAGGACGGCAUGGUUCUAUUUUGUUGGUUUCUAGGAUCACCGUAAUGAUUAAUAGGGAUAGUUGGGGGCAUUAGUAUUCAAUUGUCAGAGGUGAAAUUCUUGGAUUUAUUGAAGACUAACUUCUGCGAAAGCAUUUGCCAAGGAUGUUUUCAUUAAUCAAGAACGAAAGUUAGGGGAUCGAAGACGAUCAGAUACCGUCGUAGUCUUAACCAUAAACUAUGCCGACUAGGGAUCGGACGAUGUUAAUUUUUUAAUGGACUCGUUCGGCGCC
rnacentral:rRNA from 1 species